UAAAACUUUUGUUAGGUGAGGCUCCUAUAUAGAUAUACGCUGCUGCCCCGAAACAUCGAGAGAUGCCAAUGGGUCAACAGAUACUGCCGUAUUAAGGUUUUAUCUAAUGUAGCUGGAAUAUUUCCAAAGCUAUAUAGUGUCAAAGCUCAACGAAGGUUUCA
rnacentral:sRNA from 2 species